UCAGAGCAGCCCUCGUAACGGUCGGGGCACCGUGAGGCAGCCUGAGCUGAGGGGCCCCGGCUAUAUUAUUUGUUAUUUAUAUAUAUAUAAAUAAAAACACUGACUACAUUUAUACAUAUUACUCAUCUCAAUAGAAGCAGGCAAGAAGCCAAACUGAACUCCAUGACAUGCAAACUUAAUUCAACCUGUUGUGAGACCAGAGCUCAUUCUGUGAGGAGCAUGCCCUUGCUGGCUCUCCAGCACCGUUCAGAGUGGUAAAGCACUUAAUGAGGUUGUUUGAAGAGUGGAAGUUCCUCCUGUUAAAUUUUUUCAGAAGUCUUCCGAGACAUUCCAGAUGAUUAUACAUUAUAACCAGAGAUUGAUUACAGCAUACCUAAGUGUGCAUAGCAUGAUCCUUGCAACACCAUUUGGAUAAGACUCCUCAUAGAGCUGUGAAGAUUCACUGUCAUCUGCACACUAGAAGCCUGUGUGAGAAGAAUAAGCAGUCUCAAGCAUCAUCAGACACAAAUAACUGAAAGGCCAGAAGUUACCAUCUGCCCAGCUGGGAGUUACCGUUUCUCAGGUCCCCAGUUUAGGAUGAGAAAACAGCCCUAGAAGCACUGCCUGCAGACAGCCUCGUUACCCCCACUAGAACUCAACAGAACUUGCAGAGUUCACAUGGAAAAGAACAUAACAAUGCUUGGCAAAGUACUUUUUAUUUUUUGGACCAGCUGAUUCCAGAAUUGCAAUACUUCGAUCUUCAGGGGACCCCAGUGGAGUAAGUAUCCAUUCUGAAUGACUCAGUAAGGCAUUCUGUUGGCAAAUUUUAAGAAAAUGAGAAAAUGUUCUCCUGGAGUAGAGCCCAUUACAUUCAUUGUCUGAGUGUGACUAGUGGCACUACUAACUGUUAACAAACUGGAGGGACAAAAAAGCUACAAGAUGUCUGAAGACUUGAAAGGCACCAAAAAGAGAACAGCUCUGCAACUGCCAGUUCUACAAACAACUAUGUAAGCUGUGUUUAACACUGCAUAUAGUCUAUUCAAUCAUCAAUCUUUGUUGACAAAGAUAAAGUGUAAUAGCUCCUCAUUUAAACUCUCAGUUAAUCAAGUGCUAGUUUAGUAAGAAAUUUAUUUUUGCGUAUCAGAAAAUACUUGCAGUGUCUAACACAACUACACUUAAAGCAAAACUAGUCUAGUAUGCAUUAUUCUGGUUAACACUGAAGCAAACCUGUAUAAACAAAAGGGUUACCUCAAGAUAUAUAGUUUACAAUAAGAAAUCAACAUAUAAAUGAAUAGGAUUUACUGAAAACAAUGGAAAGUGUAUUACAAAGAUACAUGAAACAAUUUUAACCACAAUAUUUUCUCUGUGAAAAAUACAACUAUUAGUGAGAUAAAAUGUACAAUUGAAUUUUUUUUCCCCAAAACAACAAAAA